AUUUAUUAUAAAUUUUACUAUAACAUUUAAAUAUAAAUAAUAUGUAUUAAUAUAGUACAAUUAAUAAUUUUAUAAUAAAAAUAAUGUAUUAUAAAAUAUAACAUAUUAUAUUUAUAUAAUUUAGUUUUAAUUAAAUUUAUAAUUUUAAUUAAGUUUGAAAUUAAGCAUUGGAAUAGUGUUAUUCCACCAAAAUGGUGGAAUAGCAAAUCCCUUGCUAUUCCAGAAUAACCGGGAAUAGCAAGGUUUGAUCGGGAUAAAAUAUCCCGGCCAAAUUUCAUCCCGUUUGGCGGAAUAACGGGGAUAACUUUUGUUAUCCCCGCUUAUCCCCCAACCAAACGGGGCUGCACAAGUAGAUUUGGGCAACUUGGUGCUUGUUUUGUAUUUUGGAGACAGUGUUGAAAGUUUUUCUUUUUUCUUUUUUCUUUCUUUGGUGGGGUUAACUUGUUUAGAGAUAUAAACACAAGAAAGAAAUAAUGGGGUGAAUAUUGAGUUGGGAUUGUAAGACGUUGUUGAUGUUAAUUUUAAAGGUUUACGAUAUAUAUCGUGUAGAACGCAGCGGAAGUAUUCAUUCGUACCUUUUUGCGGAAGCGAUUCGCGCUAGAACGUGACGAGCCCGGAUCGUAGAGGUUGAUUCACGUAUCCUCGUAUCGUUCCUGAAAAUUUUCUAUCGCUCCAAAUUCGCGGUGGAUCGAACUACAAACGAGCACGAUCUCGAAUCCACCGUUUAAGACCCUCUAGAAUAAUAGAUUAAUGGAGAAUGUGGUUUCUACGUUUCUCUCUUUUGUUUUCUUAUUCUCUUUCUUAUUUUUCUUCUUUUUUUUUAUGUGAGAUCGCCUGCAUAUUUAUAAGGAAUUCCAAAAACCU
rnacentral:lncRNA from 1 species